ACGGAGGCAGCAGUGAGGAAUAUUGGUCAAUGGACGAGAGUCUGAACCAGCCAAGUAGCGUGCAGGAUGACGGCCCUAUGGGUUGUAAACUGCUUUUGUACGGGAAUAAAGUGACCUACGUGUAGGUUUUUGCAUGUACCGUAAGAAUAAGGACCGGCUAAUUCCGUGCCAGCAGCCACGGUAAUACGGAAGGUACGGGCGUUAUCCGGAUUUAUUGGGUUUAAAGGGAGCGUAGGCCGUGCUUUAAGCGUGUUGUGAAAUGUAGGCGCCCAACGUCUGCACUGCAGCGCGAACUGGAGCACUUGAGUACGCAGGAAGUAGGCGGAAUUCGUCGUGUAGCGGUGAAAUGCUUAGAUAUGACGAAGAACUCCGAUUGGGAAGUCAGCUUACUGUAGCGCCACUGACGCUGAUGCUCGAAAGCGUGGGUGUCGAACAGGAUUAGAUACCCUGGUA
rnacentral:rRNA from 1 species